AUUUACAUUUUGAGUGAGUGGCGAACUUGGUGAGUAACACGUGGGAAACCUGCCCAGAAGCGGGGGAUAACACCUGGAAACAGAUGCUAAUACCGCAUAACAACUUGGACCGCAUGGUCCGAGUUUGAAAGAUGGCUUCGGCUAUCACUUUUGGAUGGUCCCGCGGCGUAUUAGCUAGAUGGUGGGGUAACGGCUCACCAUGGCAAUGAUACGUAGCCGACCUGAGAGGGUAAUCGGCCACAUUGGGACUGAGACACGGCCCAAACUCCUACGGGAGGCAGCAGUAGGGAAUCUUCCACAAUGGACGAAAGUCUGAUGGAGCAACGCCGCGUGAGUGAAGAAGGGUUUCGGCUCGUAAAACUCUGUUGUUAAAGAAGAACAUAUCUGAGAGUAACUGUUCAGGUAUUGACGGUAUUUAACCAGAAAGCCACGGCUAACUACGUGCCAGCAGCCGCGGUAAUACGUAGGUGGCAAGCGUUGUCCGGAUUUAUUGGGCGUAAAGCGAGCGCAGGCGGUUUUUUAAGUCUGAUGUGAAAGCCUUCGGCUCAACCGAAGAAGUGCAUCGGAAACUGGGAAACUUGAGUGCAGAAGAGGACAGUGGAACUCCAUGUGUAGCGGUGAAAUGCGUAGAUAUAUGGAAGAACACCAGUGGCGAAAGGCGGCUGUCUGGUCUGUAACUGACGCUGAGGCUCGAAAGUAUGGGUAGCAACAGGAUUAGAUACCCUGGUAGUCCAUACCGUAACGAUGAUGCUAGUGUUGGAGGGUUUCGCC
rnacentral:rRNA from 2 species